UACGUAGGGUGCAAGCGUUGUCCGGAAUUAUUGGGCGUAAAGAGCUCGUAGGCGGUGUGUCGCGUCGGCCGUGAAAACCUGCAGCUUAACUGUGGGCGUGCGGUCGAUACGGGCAUCACUGGAGUUCGGCAGGGGAGACUGGAAUUCCUGGUGUAGCGGUGAAAUGCGCAGAUAUCAGGAGGAACACCGGUGGCGAAGGCGGGUCUCUGGGCCGUAACUGACGCUGAGGAGCGAAAGCAUGGGGAGCGAACAGG
rnacentral:rRNA from 1 species